GAUGAACGCUGGCGGCGUGCUUAACACAUGCAAGUCGAACGAAGAUGCCGGAGUGCUUGCACUUUGGCAGACUGAGUGGCGGACGGGUGAGUAACGCGUGGGUAACCUGCCUUAUACAGGGGGAUAACAGUUGGAAACGACUGCUAAUACCGCAUAAGCGCACGGUAUCGCAUGAUACAGUGUGAAAAACUCCGGUGGUAUAAGAUGGACCCGCGUCUGAUUAGCUUGUUGGUGAGGUAACGGCCCACCAAGGCGACGAUCAGUAGCCGGCCUGAGAGGGUGAACGGCCACAUUGGGACUGAGACACGGCCCAAACUCCUACGGGAGGCAGCAGUGGGGAAUAUUGCACAAUGGGGGAAACCCUGAUGCAGCGACGCCGCGUGAGUGAUGAAGUAUUUCCGGUAUGUAAAACUCUAUCAGCAGGGAAGAUAAAUCGAACGGUACCUGACUAAGAAGCACCGGCUUAAAANACGUGCCAGCAG
rnacentral:rRNA from 1 species